GGGCGCGUGGCGGAAUGGCAGACGCGCUGGCUUCAGGUGUCAGUGACCGCAAGGUCGUGGAGGUUCAAGUCCUCUCGCGCCCACCA
rnacentral:tRNA from 1 species